rnacentral:rRNA from 1 species
UGGGGAAUUUUGGACAAUGGGCGAAAGCCUGAUCCAGCAAUGCCGCGUGUGUGAAGAAGGCCUUCGGGUUGUAAAGCACUUUUGUCCGGAAAGAAAUCCUUGGCUCUAAUACAGUCGGGGGAUGACGGUACCGGAAGAAUAAGCACCGGCUAACUACGUGCCAGCAGCCGCGGUAAUACGUAGGGUGCAAGCGUUAAUCGGAAUUACUGGGCGUAAAGCGUGCGCAGGCGGUUUGCUAAGACCGAUGUGAAAUCCCCGGGCUCAACCUGGGAACUGCAUUGGUGACUGGCAGGCUAGAGUAUGGCAGAGGGGGGUAGAAUUCCACGUGUAGCAGUGAAAUGCGUAGAGAUGUGGAGGAAUACCGAUGGCGAAGGCAGCCCCCUGGGCCAAAUACUGACGCUCAUGCACGAAAGCGUGGGGAGCAAACAGGAUUAGAUACCCUGGUAGUCCACGCCCUAAACGAUGUCAACUAGUUGUUGGGGAUUCAUUCCUUAGUAACGUAGCUAACGCGUGAAGUUGACCGCCUGGGGAGUACGGUCGCAAGAUUAAAACUCAAAGGAAUUGACGGGGUCAUAGCUG